GUGCCAGCCGCCGCGGUAAAACCGGCUCUGCGACUGGGUCGGGACGUUUGUUGGGCCUAAAGCGUGGAUAAGCCGGGCUAGUAAGUCCCCGGUUAAAUCUAACGGCUUAACCGUUAGACUGCUGGGGAUACUACUAGCCUAGGGACUGGGAGAGGUCCCGGGUAUUCCCUGGGGAGCGGUAAAAUGCUAAGAUCCAGGGAGGAGGGCCGGUGGCGAAGGCGCCCCCACUGGAACAGGUCCGACGGUGAGGGACGAAAGCCAGGGGAGCGAACCGGAUUAGAUACCCGGGUAGUCC
rnacentral:rRNA from 1 species